rnacentral:lncRNA from 1 species
GCUUGUGAGGUGGGUGGGGUGAGUGGGGUGGGUGGGGUCAGAGAGAGAACCUUGAAGCUGGCUCCACGCCUGGCACAGAGCCCGACGCAGGCUCCAUCUCAGGACCCUGACAUCAUGACCUGAGCCGAAAUCAAGAAUCAGACGCUUAACCAGCUGAGCCGUCCUGGCGCCCCUAGGCUUGCAGGACUUUUAACUUGUACUGAUCCAUUUAAAUAUUUUGUUCAUCAUGGAUUUUUCUGCAUUAAUUUUGAUUUCUAAAAAUUCUGUUAUUAAAACUGAUCUGUCUUGGGGCGACUGGGUGGCACAGCAGUUAAGCAUCUGCCUUCGGCUCAGGGUGUGAUCCCGGUGUUAUGGGAUCGAGCCCCACAUCAGGCUCCUCCGCUAUGAGCCUGCUUCUUCCUCUCCCACUCCCCCUGCUUGUGUUCCCUCUCUCACUGGCUGUCUCUCUCUCUGUCAAAUAAAUAAAAAUAUUAAAAAAAACACAACUGAUCUGUCUUGACUGCUGAGUUUUUGGGGCACCUUCAAGUGUUGUUCCAAGGCCUCCACUUAACCUGAGGCCUGGCCCACCGCUGCCUAAUCUAGUUUUGCUUGUUAGGAGCUCAGACUCUUUGGCAUUUGUGGAAGCCACUGCUCGAUGCCUAUAAAUAUCAGUUUUCUAUCUCCUGCGCCACUAACAGAUCCCCACAUCAUCUGGCUGUGCCCAAAUAUGCCCCCUACGGAUGUGACCACAUUCUCAUCUCUGCAGUCAAACCUCCUCUGAGGUCACUUAGUGAUGUGACCAAGUUUUGGCCAAAGAAAUGCUUCCAGGACGUCCAUACUCAGGAAGAAAGUGUCCAAGGGGUGCUACCCCAAAGGGGAGUCCUCUCAACGUCCAGGCUGGGACACCGGACAUCAAACUUCUCCGGAGAGCAGGAGGACGACCUGAGGGUAAGCAAGGGUUUGCAUCUGGGGCAGGAGCGGGAGCUCGGGGAUCGCGGUCUAGCUGCGUGGGUCCUGACUACUUCAUCUCUGGCCUUGUUUUCCAGAAGAGAGGUUUUGCUGUGGUCAUCCUCACCCCCUUUGCACGCUGGUUCCAC